AGUGAACGCUGGCGGUAGGCCUAACACAUGCAAGUCGAACGGCAGCACAGUAAGAGCUUGCUCUUACGGGUGGCGAGUGGCGGACGGGUGAGGAAUACAUCGGAAUCUACUUUUUCGUGGGGGAUAACGUAGGGAAACUUACGCUAAUACCGCAUACGACCUACGGGUGAAAGCAGGGGAUCUUCGGACCUUGCGCGAUUGAAUGAGCCGAUGUCGGAUUAGCUAGUUGGCGGGGUAAAGGCCCACCAAGGCGACGAUCCGUAGCUGGUCUGAGAGGAUGAUCAGCCACACUGGAACUGAGACACGGUCCAGACUCCUACGGGAGGCAGCAGUGGGGAAUAUUGGACAAUGGAAGCAAGCCUGAUCCAGCCAUACCGCGUGGGUGAAGAAGGCCUUCGGGUUGUAAAGCCCUUUUGUUGGGAAAGAAAAGCAGCAGGUUAAUACCCCGCUGUUCUGACGGUACCCAAAGAAUAAGCACCGGCUAACUUCGUG
rnacentral:rRNA from 1 species